UUCCUACGGGAGGCAGCAGUGGGGAAUAUUGCACAAUGGGGGAAACCCUGAUGCAGCAACGCCGCGUGAAGGAAGACGGUUUUCGGAUUGUAAACUUCUGUUCUUAGUGAAGAAAAAUGACGGUAGCUAAGGAGCAAGCCACGGCUAACUACGUGCCAGCAGCCGCGGUAAUACGUAGGGGGCAAGCGUUAUCCGGAUUUACUGGGUGUAAAGGGAGCGUAGACGGCAGGGCAAGUCUGGAGUGAAAGGCAGGGGCCCAACCCCUGGACUGCUCUGGAAACUGUCCGGCUGGAGUGCAGGAGAGG
rnacentral:rRNA from 1 species